rnacentral:misc_RNA from 1 species
ACAAACUUGGUCAUUUAGAGGAAGUAAAAGUCGUAACAAGGUUUCCGUAGGUGAACCUGCGGAAGGAUCAUUAACAAUUGUCCAUGAUAACUGGAUAAUUUUAUCCAAUAUCCACCUUGUGUGAAUCACUGAACUGUUUGUUGGUAGGUUAUACACUCUCGGCUUCGAGAGCUUGUGUGAGUUAGACACUCGGCCUGCCAAUUUUAUUUUUGUAUAACUUGUCUAAAUGAAAUGGUCUGAACUUGAAUUUAUUAUAAAUAAAUACAACUUUCAACAACGGAUCUCUUGGCUCUCGCAUCGAUGAAGAACGCAGC